GCGACAACGACAACAGUUUUGACAGUUACUGUCAUUUUUUUGUUCCGGAUUUGUUCGGUGGUGCCUCGGAAUUACAUUUUUCCAGAUUUUGCCGUGAAGUUCCUGCGUUUAUGCAGACAGCAAUAUGGAACCGGAAGAUAAAUUGUCCGUUUGGGCACUUCCCGACGAGCCCCGAGCAACCCCCAUGACUGGCAGGAAAAAUGUGGCGCAAUGUCUAUAGCUCAUCUAGAUGGCUGCGCAUCACAAUUCAUUGGCUGGUUAUCGUCAAUAUUUUAAAAUCCUGUUGCUGAUCUAAACGGUGCUGAUAAUUACAUCCUUUGUAUUUAUGAUCUGACCCCGAUUGAAUAAAACACCUAUGUGAAGUUUAAAAUAAACAAACAAAAC